rnacentral:rRNA from 1 species
UGGGGAAUCUUCCGCAAUGGGCGCAAGCCUGACGGAGCAACGCCGCGUGAGUGAAGAAGGGUUUCGACUCGUAAAGCUCUGUUGUCGGGGACGAACGUGGAGACUAUGAAUAAUGGUUUUCAAUGACGGUACCUGACGAGGAAGCCACGGCUAACUACGUGCCAGCAGCCGCGGUAAUACGUAGGUGGCGAGCGUUGUCCGGAAUUAUUGGGCGUAAAGGGAGCGCAGGCGGGAGGUCAAGUCUAUCUUAAAAAGUGCGGGGCUCAACCCCGUGAGGGGAUGGAAACUGGUCUUCUUGAGUAGUUCAGAGGUUGGCGGAAUUCCUGGUGUAGCGGUGGAAUGCGUAGAUAUCAGGAAGAACACCGAUGGCGAAGGCAGCCAACUGGGGACUAAC